ACUCCUACGGGAGGCAGCAGUGGGGAAUAUUGCACAAUGGGGGAAACCCUGAUGCAGCCAUGCCGCGUGUGUGAAGAAGGCCUUGGUUGUAAAGCACUUUCAGUAGGGAGGAAGGUAGUGUAGUUAACACCUGCAUUAUUUGACGUUACCUACAGAAGAAGCACCGGCUAACUCCGUGCCAGCAGCCGCGGUAAUACGGAGGGUGCGAGCGUUAAUCGGAAUUACUGGGCGUAAAGCGCAUGCAGGCGGCCUGUUAAGUCAGAUGUGAAAGCCCGGGGUCUUAACCUCGGAAUUGCAUUUGAAACUGGCAGGCUAGAGUCUUGUAGAGGGGUUAGAAUUUCAGGUGUAGCGGUGAAAUGCGUAGAGAUCUGAAGGAAUACCAGUGGCGAAGGCGGCCCCUGGACAAAGACUGACGCUCAGAUGCGAAAGCGUGGGAGCAAACAGGAUUAGAUACCCCUGGUAGCGACUGA
rnacentral:rRNA from 1 species